rnacentral:rRNA from 1 species
UACGUAGGGCGCAAGCGUUGUCCGGAAUUAUUGGGCGUAAAGAGCUCGUAGGCGGCUUGUCACGUCGGCUGUGAAAACCCGGGGCUCAACCCCGGGCCUGCAGUCGAUACGGGCGAGCUAGAGUUCGGCAGGGGAGACUGGAAUUCCUGGUGUAGCGGUGAAAUGCGCAGAUAUCAGGAGGAACACCGGUGGCGAAGGCGGGUCUCUGGGCCGAUACUGACGCUGAGGAGCGAAAGCGUGGGGAGCGAACAGG